UUUCUACUCCCUCCGUCCGAAAAUACUUGUCAUCAAAAUGGAUAAAAAGAGAUGUAUCUAAAACUAAAAUAUGUCUAGAUACAUNUUUUAUCCAUUUUGAUGACAAGUAUUUCCGGACGGAGGGAGUAUUUG
rnacentral:pre_miRNA from 1 species